UUGCUUGCAUUGUUAUGGAAAAAAGGCCAGAGUUCACUGAGAAGCUAAGGAGAAGGAUAUGGGAUAAGGUGGGAAUGCAGGAACAGCUGAGGGGUAAGAAAAAAAGGCAAACAGGAGCUGCCUGCAUUAUGAAAGAAGAAGGAAGGCCCCAAGUUCAGGCAGAGGUCGGAUCCUUGUUUCCUCCCAGUAAGGAUCAAAGUCUGUUGGAAGGGAGAGCAGGAGAGGAGCAGGCUUCAAGGAACAGGAGGUGUAAUGAACUUGCAGUAACUGCAGUGUCAGUUCAGGAAACCACUGACACCCAGUGCUAGCUCCAGGGAAGUCUGGCUCCUACUUUCUCCUGCCCACUGACAACUCCUCAGGCAUGAGGAGGGAAACUUGGACCUCCACGCUGAACAGCCAAAUCAAUCUGCAUAACUAAGAAACAAAUCAUGAGAGAAACUCCUGAGGACCAACUUAAGGCAACGCACAAUCACACCUGUGCUCAGUUUUGCUGCCACACCUCCAUCAGAUUCCCUUGAAGAAACUGGCUGCAGCCUGCUCUAAGUACCCCCACAAGAGGUGGCUGAGAAGUCUCCUCUUUCCUGUAGAGUCACAAAGUGUCUUAUGAGUUUUUGUGGGAGGUAAGGUGACAGCCUCUCAAAGACUUUGGCUCAAUGAAAGUCUUCAUCAAAGUACCCAAUUUUCAUUCACUGAGAUUGAUGAAUGAAUGGUGCAUGGAGGAGUUACUCUUUCUUUUGGGUACUGUUUCAUGCAUUUCUUGCAGCAAGCAGAAUCCACCAGCUGGAGUGAUGAUACCAUAUAACUGAAUAUUGAGUGAAAAUCUAUGACACCAGGACCCACAAACUGAUAAUUUGUAAAAUCACACCCCAUGAAAACUCUCAGAUGAAUGCAAAGGUGAAAUAAGACAUGAUUAAUUUAUUUACCCAGGAGCAUACUUGUUAUAAUGCUCAUCUGAGAAGAGAUUUUGUGAUCUCUGGAGCAGAUCCAAACUGAGGGCAAGUGGAAGCAUAAGGACAGAUUGGGGAGGCAGAUAAUGUGGGUUCAGGCUCCUUCCAUCAGAGAGAUCAUUUCAAAAUGGUUUUCCAUUGCACCAGGUGAAAGCACAAAUCCCAGGGUGUGGAGUGGGAUGAGUCCUCUGGCUGCUCUGUGAGCAGACAUAGUGCUUACCCUGCUCAUGGGCUCUUCUUUCUCUCCUGCAGCUAUUUAUCUGGAAGAACUGUGCAGAGUAAUUUUAUUCCACCUCAACCAGUGCUAGGCUCAUCAGUUUAAGAUAUUUGGUAAAAAAACCCAUAUAUUUUGAAAAAUUCUAUUUGUAAAUUUGAAGUAUCUUCUAAGGAAGCUUCUAGAAUCAUAUUGUAAUUUUUCUAUCCUU